rnacentral:tRNA from 1 species
GCGCGGGUGGCGGAACUGGCAGACGCGCUAGAUUCAGGUUCUAGUGGGUAACUCCGUGGGGGUUCAAAUCCCCCCUCGCGCACCA